UUGAGGAUGGCGGACGGGUGAGUAACGCGUAAGGAACUUGCCUCUUGGUCUGGGACAACUGUUGGAAACGACAGCUAAUACCGGAUAUUAUGAGAUUCUCGCAUGGGAAACUUAUGAAAGCUAUAUGCGCCAAGAGAGAGCCUUGCGUUCCAUUAGCUAGUUGGUGGGGUAACGGCCCACCAAGGCGACGAUGGAUAGCCGGCCUGAGAGGGUGAACGGCCACAAGGGGACUGAGACACGGCCCUUACUCCUACGGGAGGCAGCAGUGGGGAAUAUUGGACAAUGGGCCACAAGCCUGAUCCAGCAAUUCUGUGUGCACGAUGAAGGUCUUCGGAUUGUAAAGUGCUUUCAGUUGGGAAGAAGAAAGUGACGGUACCAACAGAAGAAGCGACGGCUAAAUACGUGCCAGCAGCCGCGGUAAUACGUAUGUCGCAAGCGUUAUCCGGAUUUAUUGGGCGUAAAGCGCGUCUAGGCGGAAAAAUAAGUCUGAUGUUAAAAUGCGGGGCUCAACUCCGUAUUGCGUUGGAAACUGUUUUUCUAGAGUACUGGAGAGGUGGGCGGAACUACAAGUGUAGAGGUGAAAUUCGUA
rnacentral:rRNA from 1 species